rnacentral:lncRNA from 1 species
GGAAGAUACAAGCUGUCACGAUCCCUUGCCAAUCACACGAGAACUGACCUAGGGAGAACAUCAACUGAAGGGUGGAGAUCACUACAUGCCAGGCUGCAUUCUUUCAUAGCAUCUGAAUCAUUCGUACUGUCUCCACAAGCUGAAAAUGAGAAACAGACUGGCAGGAAAGUUAAAAUUUUCAAGGUGGAAAGAGCAGGGAAUAACCUGUUUUGGGGUUGGGGUUUUUUUUUAGAUUAAA